AGGAUCAUUAUCGAAAGCUCUGGCUUUUGCUGUGCCUUGAACNNUUUGAUGUAUAAAACCUUUGUUGCUUCCGUCGGCCGAUGUNNAAAAACUGCGGCAUCGACUGAUGGAGGGUAUUUGAGAACUUGGCUGUUUUAAAUGGUUAUUAGUCUGAAAAGAUUUGAGAUGAAAACGCUCAAAUAAUAAAACUUUCAACAACGGAUCUCUUGGCUCCUGCAUCGAUGAAGAACGCAGCGAAAUGCGAUAAGUAAUGUGAAUUGCAGAAUUCAGUGAAUCAUCGAGUCUUUGAACGCACAUUGCGCCCUAUGGUUAUUCCGUAGGGCAUGCCCGUCUCAGCGUCAGAAGAAAACCCUCAGGCAAGGCUUUGAUGCCAUGCCUGGAUUGUGUCAGAGUGGCAGCAGACCUGAAGGUCAUUCUGCCCUUUGUAAAACCAUGGAUGUAUUGAAGAUUUGUUUCAUUCCAACGUGAUAGAAUAUUUGAUUCGUUGGUAUCAAAUUAUCUGCACAUAUUUCCAAAAAAAGAAAACCCACAAAAUUGUUGACAUAUUUGACCUGAGAUCGGGUAGGGAUACCCGCUGAACUUAAGCAUAUCAAUAAGCGGAGGAAAAGAAACCAACAGGGAUUGCCUCAGUAACGGCGAGUGAAGCGGCAAUAGCUCAGAUUUGAAAGCUGGUGCAUCAGUGCAUCCGCAUUGUAAUCUGUAGAGGUGUGUUCAGGUGUGGCCUUGGUCGAAGUUCCUUGUGAACAGGACAUCAUGGAGGGUGAGAAUCCCGUGAAUGGCCUCGGUCCUAUGCCUAUGUGAACCUCCUUCAAUGAGUCGAGUUGUUUGGGAAUGCAGCUCUAAAUGGGUGGUAUAUUUCAUCUAAAGCUAAAUACUGGCAGGAGACCGAUAGCGCACAAGUAGAGUGAUCGAAAGAUGAAAAGAACUUUGAAAAGAGAGUCAAAUAGUACGUGAAAUUGUUGAAAGGGAAGCACUUGCGUCCAGACUUGCCUGUGGCUGAUCAGCCGUCAUUUUUGAUGGUGCACUCGGUUGAAGGCAGGCCAGCAUCGUNUCAANNCNUGGGAAAAAGGUGCAAGGAAUGUGGCUCCUUCGGGNUNUUAUAGCCAUGCAUGCCAUACCACCUGCCAUGACUGAGGAC
rnacentral:rRNA from 1 species